UUAUGGCCACAGCCCGUUGAAACAUCGGUUCCCGUACGAUCACCAAAGUUAAGCAACUUCAAGCCUUGAGAAUACCUCGAUGGGUGAUUGCUUAAGAAUACCAGGUGCUGUAAG